CAUACCAGAAGAGACGCUGCUGCCUUCCUCUCUUACCACUCUUCAAAUCCAGUGUUUUCCCAAUCUCUAUUAUCUAGAGCUUCAGCACCUCACCUCUCUAGAAAGAUUGAUUAUCCUAGACUGUCCUAAUCUCCAGUGCAUAGAAGGUGACAGGCUGUCCUCUCUUUCUUGUUAUGUUAGCGAUGGUGCUUUCUGAGUUGGCAGUGAAUGUGAAGGCCUAUAUUUUCGCUAACAUGAUCAGGAAAGCAAAAAGAUGUUGAAGACAAUGGAAAUGGAGAAUAUUGAAGCAAUGAACUUGAUUUGGUGCAUAUAGCUAUGAUGCUUGUUGCGGGAUCCUGUUGCUGUAUUUGUGGCUCUGGAUGUGUGCAGCCGCAUGUUGCUCUGCUGCUGGCUGGGUUGGCAUUGAUUGGUUACGCAAUUCUUUGAGUAUUUUGCUGCUGAUUGUUGUUGCUUCCUGGGUGGUUUUGUGGCUGGUUUUUAUACUGUGAUAUAAAAUUUGCGUCAUCCAAUAGAUCACACAUUUAUCUCAUGCAUGCAUGUGAUAUAAAUCCUUUGGCUGUUAUAAUAACAUAUUACUGUUAUAUUAUUGACUUAAUAAUUUAUAUUUUUUUUAGUAAUU
rnacentral:misc_RNA from 1 species